rnacentral:rRNA from 1 species
AUUGAACGCUGGCGGCAUGCUUUACACAUGCAAGUCGAACGGCAGCGCGGGCUUCGGCCUGGCGGCGAGUGGCGAACGGGUGAGUAAUACAUCGGAACGCGCCCAGUAGUGGGGGAUAGCUCGGCGAAAGCCGGAUUAAUACCGCAUACGACCUGAGGGUGAAAGCGGGGGAUCUUCGGACCUCGCGCUAUUGGAGCGGCCGAUGGCAGAUUAGCUAGUUGGUGGGGUAAAGGCCUACCAAGGCGACGAUCUGUAGCUGGUCUGAGAGGACGACCAGCCACACUGGGACUGAGACACGGCCCAGACUCCUACGGGAGGCAGCAGUGGGGAAUUUUGGACAAUGGGCGAAAGCCUGAUCCAGCAAUGCCGCGUGUGUGAUGAAGGCCUUCGGGUUGUAAAGCACUUUUGGCGGGAACGAAAAGGACUGUGCCAAUACCACGGUUCGAUGACGGUACCCGCAGAAUAAGCACCGGCUAACUACCUG